rnacentral:rRNA from 1 species
UUGAUCCUGGCUCAGAAUCAACGCUGGCGGCGUGCCUAACACAUGCAAGUCGAACGGGAAAACGGGGGCAACCCUGUGAGUACAGUGGCGUACGGGUGAUUAACACGUGACUAACCUACCUUCGAGUGGGGGAUAACCCCGGGAAACCGUGGCUAAUACCGCAUAACAUCGCAAGAUCAAAGGAGCAAUCCGCUUGAAGUGGGGGUCGCGGCUGAUUAGCUAGUUGGUAGGGUAAUGGCCUACCAAGGCUAUGAUCGGUAGCCGGCCUGAGAGGGCGCACGGCCACACUGGAACUGAAAUACGGUCCAGACUCCUACGGGAGGCAGCAGUGGGGAAUUUUGCGCAAUGGUGGAAACCCUGACGCAGCAACGCCGCGUGGAGGAUGAAGUCCCUUGGGACUUAAACUCCUUUCGACCGGGACGAUUAUGACGGUACCGGUGGAAGAAGCCUCGGCUAACUUCGUGCCAGCAGCCGCGGUAAUU